GUCAUCAAAUUCAUCAUCAAAAUCAUCAUCACUUGCAUCAAUAUUAACAUCCUGCAAGUUGAACUUGACAGAUUUCUGAUCUUUAUGGGGCAUCUUCAAAUCACUAGAUCCUUUGAAUUGUUGCAUUUGGUGUUGCCCUUGUUGGCCUCCUUUUCCACCCUUUUGAGAUUUGUUAUCUUUGCCAUUCCCAAUUUGCAUGUUCUUGAAUUGAUUGUUGACAAGAUUUUGGUAGUUGUUGAAGCCCUUUGGAGCUCCCCAUAGCUCUGCAUGCUUCCCUGACUUCUCAAGCUUCCUUAUGAGUUUUGCUGCGUCAACAUUUCCUGUCACAGUUACCUUCCCUUGCUCUGCAUUUAUUGUUGUAUUAUACACC
rnacentral:misc_RNA from 1 species